UCCACUUCUGUUUACCUCAGCUUGGGAUGGGGGAUCUUGAGAUGAGGAACCCACAUCAGAAAAUUGCAAACUCCGGGGAAAUUAUGAGUCCUCCAGCCUUCUAGUAAUCCUUUUCCCUGCUGGAUCAUGUUUUUCAAUUCUCACCUCCAGUAGCUCAAUUUCCCCACGUAUUGGUUGAAAUGAGCCUAGUAGAAAGUUGACUAUCAUGACU
rnacentral:lncRNA from 1 species